ACCAAUUAUCUUUUGUUUAGUAUAAAUUGAGGUUAACGUGUAUCUACGGUAUUUCAUUUUUUUUUUUUUUAAUAUCUGUUGAGAGUAUUAAUUGACGUAUUAUCGUGCAUCUAUGAUUAUCCAUAUUUAUGUCAUGAUCUAUGGUCAUGGUGUAAAAUGACGUUUGUCGCCUUUUUAUUAUGACUCCACAAUUUUACUUGCUUUUUGGUGCUUAUUUUUAGAUUAUCGAACAAAUGAGUUCAGUUUAGCUGUACUGAAACGGCCAUGUCUACAUGGGUGUUGUCUUUUCUGGACUUAGUCUUGAUUUGCUAUUUUUGUCUUCACCUCGCAACGUAUGCAGUUAAUUUUCAACCGAUAAGUGGAAGCAACUGGAAACUUAUUUGAACAACAGACUUUCUGCCGUGGUAUUCUGGAUUUGGUUUGCUUUUUACACCUGCAAACAUUGAGAGGUUGCAGUCUACAGUUAAUUAAGAUCGACGCUGGAGAAGACAAAGAUGACCCCGUAGUUGAAA